rnacentral:tmRNA from 1 species
UUAGGGAGCAAACCAGCGUGAAAGCUAUAAAACGAAGGCUACGUACGUAGAAGCUCCAGCGGAAGGUUUUCGGACGCGGGUUCGACUCCCGCCGCCUCCACCA